ensembl:lncRNA
CUAAAGUGAAAAGUGAAAGUGAAGUCGCUCAGUCGUGUCUGACUCUUUGCGACCCCAUGGACUGUAGCCCACCAGGCUCCUCCAUCCAUGGGAUUCUCCUGGCAAGAAUACUGGAACGGGUUGUCAUUUCCUUCUCCCGAAAAGAUACUUAGUAUGUGUUUCCUUGUACUAGGCACUCAGAAAGCUACAAAGAAAAACAAAAUAUGAUUCCUGGAACCCAAGAAAACCACUGCCAGUAGAAGAGAUAGAUACCAAACUUGUAAUUACAAGAGGCUUUUUUUAAAAGUGCUGCGAUGGGAACCUUUCAGAGAGAGUGCAUGACUCAUUGAUCUCAGUGAAAAAUGAGGAAACAAAAGACUCAAUAUAGGUCAGGCAAGUUCCCUUGGAUAACCUUGGUGAAUGGCCCUGCUGAGACUCAAACAAGGCCUUUGACUACACUUCACUUCCUGUGCUUUCUGAAUGUUUGUUCUACGGUCAAAGGAGUUAAUCAGAGUGGUAAGAAGAAGCAACACCAGCAUCAGCAGCUAACAUUUAUUGACCACUUACUUGGUGCCAGUUCUAAGCGCCUUAUAUAUUUAAUCGCUUCUCACAGUAUCCUGAAGAGACGAUCUGAGAGGACAAGUCUGGAGCUGUUGGUGGCCCCUGUACCUCCAUGUGAUGUUUGAGAAGGAAUGAAGUUGGCAUGAAGCAGAGCAGAGCUAAGACCACUGAGCCUUGAUCACAUGGUUGGACCUGGAGCAAGUUGGUCCCAAAACUGGUUGCACCCAAGAUUUUUCAGAUAUGAGGCAAUAAAUUUCCUUUUUUGCUUAAUAUGGUCUUCUCUGGUAGCUCGGGCAUAAAGAAUCUACCUGCAAUUCAGGAGACCCCGG